UCCCGGAAUACGGUCACCCCAGCCCAUGUGGCUCUGGUUGGUUGAUAGUGUUCUCAUAUUGUUUCGGUGGCCAUAGCGUCGGGGAAACACCCAGUCUCCAUUUCGAACCUGGAAGUUAAGCCCGCCAGCGCCGAUGGUACUGCGACCGGGAGGUCGUGGGAGAGUAGGACGCCGCCGGAC
rnacentral:rRNA from 1 species